rnacentral:rRNA from 1 species
UACGUAGGGGGCGAGCGUUGUCCGGAGUUACUGGGCGUAAAGGGCGCGCAGGCGGUCUGGUAAGUUUGGAGUGACAGUGCUCGGCUUAACUGAGCAAGGCCUUCGAAAACUGUCAGACUUGAGCACUCAAGAGGGACAUAGAAUUCCGGGUGGAGUGGUGAAAUGCGUAGAUAUUCGGAGGAAUACCAAAGGCGAAGGCAGUGUCCUGGGGAGUGUCUGACGCUCAGGCGCGAAAGCCAGGGGAGCGAACGGG